GCCCGUUUAGCUCAUCGGUAGAGCGCCUCACUAGUAAUUGGUAACAACCUCAAGUUGCAAUGAGGAGGCAGUUGGUUCGAUUCCAGCAAUGGGCA